rnacentral:rRNA from 1 species
AGUGAACGCUGGCGGUAGGCCUAACACAUGCAAGUCGAACGGCAGCACAGUAAGAGCUUGCUCUUACGGGUGGCGAGUGGCGGACGGGUGAUGAAUACAUCGGAAUCUACUUUUUCGUGGGGGAUAACGUAGGGAAACUUACGCUAAUACCGCAUACGACCUACGGGUGAAAGCAUGGGAUCUUCGGACCUUGCGCGAUUGAAUGAGCCGAUGUCGGAUUAGCUAGUUGGCGGGGUAAAGGCCCACCAAGGCGACGAUCCGUAGCUGGUCUGAGAGGAUGAUCAGCCACACUGGAACUGAGACACGGUCCAGACUCCUACGGGAGGCAGCAGUGGGGAAUAUUGGACAAUGGGCGCAAGCCUGAUCCAGCCAUACCGCGUGGGUGAAGAAGGCCUUCGGGUUGUAAAGCCCUUUUGUUGGGAAAGAAAAGCAGCAGGUUAAUACCCCGCUGUUCUGACGGUACCAAAAGAAUAAGCACCGGCUAACUUCGUG